rnacentral:sRNA from 2 species
GCUCCCGCAGCGCCAAACCUCGUCCCGCGGGAAACGGCCCCCCAACGAACACCCAGGGGACGAGGACGGGGGACCCACACGUCCUCUCGGAUAACCGAAAGACCUGCUCCGGCAGGACUUUCUUGGGGUGAAGCCCAAUCACUCCCUACGGAGAAUUGGGCCGGGCUACCUCUCAGCCCGAACCCGACAGCUGACCUCGCAGGCGCCUGUGGAGAGGAUUU